rnacentral:rRNA from 1 species
AACGCUAGCUACAGGCUUAACACAUGCAAGUCGAGGGGAAACGACAUUGGAAGCUUGCUUCCGAUGGGCGUCGACCGGCGCACGGGUGAGUAACGCGUAUCCAACCUGCCCACCACUUGGGGAUAACCUUGCGAAAGUAAGACUAAUACCCAAUGACGUCCAUAGAAGACAUCUGAAGUGGAUUAAAGAUUUAUCGGUGAUGGAUGGGGAUGCGUCUGAUUAGCUUGUUGGCGGGGUAACGGCCCACCAAGGCGACGAUCAGUAGGGGUUCUGAGAGGAAGGUCCCCCACAUUGGAACUGAGACACGGUCCAAACUCCUACGGGAGGCAGCAGUGAGGAAUAUUGGUCAAUGGGCGAGAGCCUGAACCAGCCAAGUAGCGUGCAGGAUGACGGCCCUAUGGGUUGUAAACUGCUUUUAUAAGGGAAUAAAGUGGAGGUCGUGACCUCUUUUGCAUGUACCUUAUGAAUAAGGACCGGCUAAUUCCAUGCCAGCAGCCGCGGUAAUACGGAAGGUCCGGGCGUUAUCCGGAUUUAUUGGGUUUAAAGGGAGCGUAGGCCGGAGAUUAAGCGUGUUGUGAAAUGUAGUUGCUCAACAUCUGCACUGCAGCACGAACUGGUUUCCUUGAGUACGCACAAAGUGGGCGGAAUUCGUGGUGUAGCGGUGAAAUGCUUAGAUAUCACGAAGAACUCCGAUUG